GCGGCACCUGUCCGUUUCCUGGGAGAGUUCAGCACCUCCCGGCAGGAAGAGGCUCCGGCCUCAUUGGGUGCGUGAGAAGGGAAGGGUGGAUCCUAAAAGAAUUCAGAAAGGCAAGAGACCACCUUACUGAGCUUCAAACUGGGGCUGGGAACGCUGCCAUGAAUUGGGCUUGGUCUGUCUGAAGGGAGCCACCUUUUCGACAAUCCUUAGACUUCUUUUGCCUGUUGGAAUUACACCUUGGAUCGUGGCGAAGUCUAUAGAGGUCAGAUUAAGAAGAACCAAAGCAGAAUAAACGUAGAACCCGAUGCUGAGUUCACGAGUGAGGACGACCUCUUCCUAUAUGCUUUGCUAUACCCUGCGUUUUGAACAUUAAGGACGAGAUAGGAGGCCCAUAAUGUUUCUUCUUGCUUUAAUCCUGUCGUGGCAACGUUGACUUCCACCUGGUUGCAGAGUGAGCCCAUGGGACAGCCCUCUGAAAUUAUACUGCUUACAACCAUGCUGAGUCUGCAAGGACUUCGUCCAAGCCUUUCCGUCCAGGACCUCAAACAGAUCCAAUCACAAGAAGAGAGAUUUCAGGAAAGAGAAAAUUAUUCCUAUCAUCGGGGUUUUUGAAGAACAUGAAAUGACUGGGAAAAUAAUCAUGUUAAGUGGAAAAAAAAAAGAAAUCUAUCUGUUGUAAUUUUCAAAUAAUUUUUAAAUAAAUUUGAAAAAUUAAGAGAACUAUAUAUAUAAUACAUUCCUAAUCUUGUGAAAAAUAUAUAUGCAUUAAUAUUAUUGAAAGAAAUAUAUCAAAAGGUGAACAGCAAUUAUCACCAAUCUAGAUUAUGAGAUUAGGAGUGAUUUUUUUUCUUUGUCCUAUACUAUUUAAUAUUUUCUACCAUUAAAAUAUUCUGAUUUUCUAAUUAGAAUAGUACGUUAGACAAAGAAGGACAAAUAUCACAUGAACUCUCACUCUCUUAUGGAACAGAUCUUGUGGAAUCUAAAAAAGUUGAACUCAUAGAAAAAGAGGAAAAUGAUGGUUACCAGUUAGAAAAAAGGAAUAAGUUCAAGAGAUCUAUUGUACACCAUGGUCAAUAUAGUUAACAAUAUAUUUUAUACUUUAAAAUUGCUAAGGUAGUAGAUUUUAAGUGUUCUCACCACACAAAAAAAUAAGUAUGUGAAAAGCAUAUGGUAAUUAGCUUGAUUUAACCACGCCACAGUGCAUACAUAUGUCAAAACAUCAUGUUGUAUACUAUAAAUAUAUACACUUUUUGUCAAUUUUAAACAGGUUAUAAAAAAACAUGUUAUUGUUGAUAAUUAUGAAAAAUUUUAAUGAUGUGGAAAUGUGUACAGUAUAAUGAUAAAUGAAAGAGUAGUAAAAAUCCUUAUAAAAUAUAAUUACAAA
ensembl:lncRNA MAP3K9-DT MAP3K9 divergent transcript